rnacentral:lncRNA from 1 species
AUGUUAGAGUUAGAGCUCUCUAGUAGUAAGUUACUACUAAAUAGUUGUAAAUAUCCAAGCAGCAAUAAAAGAUGCCAAGGAAGCAAAUCUGCUGAUUAUGACUUCAAUGCCUUUCAUUACACAUAUAAUCAACUAAGAAAGAAAAUGGAUUCAUAACUUGUGUUUGAGAGGAAAGAAAACCCCAGUGACCUCUUCCACAUAAGAUGGGUAAGAAAUCAUUUUAAUUCAAUUUGGAGUAAGUAAUGAAUUCAAUUUAUUAAAAUUGCUUAUA